CGUUCCCGGGCCUUGUACACACCGCCCGUCACACCAUGGGAGUUGGUUUUACCCGAAGCCGGUGCGCGAACCGUAAGGACGCAGCCGACCACGGUAAGGUCAGCGACUGGGGUG
rnacentral:rRNA from 1 species